rnacentral:rRNA from 1 species
ACGCUGGCGGCGUGCCUAAUACAUGCAAGUCGAACGAGAGCGACCGGUGCUUGCACUGGUCAAUCUAGUGGCGAACGGGUGAGUAACACGUGGGUAACCUGCCCAUCAGAGGGGGAUAACAUUCGGAAACGGAUGCUAAAACCGCAUAGGUCCUUUAACCGCAUGGUUGAAGGAGGAAAAGAGGCGCAAGCUUCUGCUGAUGGAUGGACCCGCGGUGCAUUAGCUAGUUGGUGAGGUAACGGCUCACCAAGGCCGUGAUGCAUAGCCGACCUGAGAGGGUGAUCGGCCACAUUGGGACUGAGACACGGCCCAAACUCCUACGGGAGGCAGCAGUAGGGAAUCUUCCGCAAUGGACGCAAGUCUGACGGAGCAACGCCGCGUGAGUGAAGAAGGUUUUCGGAUCGUAAAACUCUGUUGUUAGAGAAGAACAAGUGCUAGAGUAACUGUUAGCGCCUUGACGGUAUCUAACCAGAAAGCCACGGCUAACUACGUGCCAGCAGCCGCGGUAAUACGUAGGUGGCAAGCGUUGUCCGGAUUUAUUGGGCGUAAAGCAAGCGCAGGCGGUUCCUUAAGUCUGAUGUGAAAGCCCCCGGCUCAACCGGGGAGGGUCAUUGGAAACUGGGGAACUUGAGUGCAGAAGAGGAGAGUGGAAUUCCAUGUGUAGCGGUGAAAUGCGUAGAUAUAUGGAGGAACACCAGUGGCGAAGGCGACUCUCUGGUCUGUAACUGACGCUGAGGCUCGAAAGCGUGGGUAGCAAACAGGAUUAGAUACCCUGGUAGUCCACGCCGUAAACGAUGAGUGCUAAGUGUUGGAGGGUUUCCGCCCUUCAGUGCUGCAGUUAACGCAUUAAGCACUCCGCCUGGGGAGUACGACCGCAAGGUUGAAACUCAAAGGAAUUGACGGGGACCCGCACAAGCGGU